AUUGAACGCUGGCGGCAUGCUUUACACAUGCAAGCCGAACGGUAACAGGUUAAGCUGACGAGUGGCGAACGGGUGAGUAAUGCAUCGGAGCGUGCCCGAUCGUGGGGGAUAACGCAGCGAAAGCUGCGCUAAUACCGCAUACGAUCUGAGGAUGAAAGCGGGGGACCGUAAGGCCUCGCGCGAUCGGAGCGGCCGAUGUCAGAUUAGGUAGUUGGUGGGGUAAAGGCUCACCAAGCCGACGAUCUGUAGCUGGUCUGAGAGGACGACCAGCCACACUGGGACUGAGACACGGCCCAGACUCCUACGGGAGGCAGCAGUGGGGAAUUUUGGACAAUGGGCGCAAGCCUGAUCCAGCAAUGCCGCGUGCAGGAAGAAGGCCUUCGGGUUGUAAACUGCUUUUGUACGGAGCGAAAAGGUCCUUUCUAAUACAGAGGGCUCAUGACGGUACCGUAAGAAUAAGCACCGGCUAACUACGUGCCAGCAGCCGCAGUAA
rnacentral:rRNA from 1 species